CAGAUCUUUUGCAUGUCUAUAAUAUGUGAUACCGUGUGCACUUUCUAUCAGACAAAUAUACAUCUCCUCAACUGCGAUAGGAUAAAUUGGCUUCUUGAAGAUAUAAACCACUUAAUAACUUACAAUUCUUACUAUGUGUUUGAAGGACAAUACUAUAGACAAAGGAAAGGAGUACCCAUAGGCAGACCCUUCGCAGAAAACGUGAUGGCUGAAGUUGGUGGUGAGGUACAAAGAGUCCCAAGCACUAGGUCCUGUCCUAUCUGAGCUCAAGCUAUUUAUCUGAUAUAUUGAUAAUAUAUGUGUAAUUUGG
rnacentral:lncRNA from 1 species